AUGCCUUUAAAUCAAACUGUGGCAUACCAGAACUACUCUUCCUUUACUAUAUGGAUCCACUUGAAUCUGGAUGUGGUAUCUUGGACGACACAGAAUGAAAUGCAAGAUAAUAAGAAGGAUACGAAAUGGAUCGUAAAGCUUCUGCUCAGAAGACUUUAUGUCACCUCUUCUACUUCACUCAUCAAACCAAGCCAUGUGUCUGAGCUUUAUGGCAACAGGACAGAGACCCAGUACUAGUAACAUGAUAUGGAAUAGAGAUGUAUAAUCCUAUUAUAGGUGGGACAACAAAUAAUUGGAAAUAAAUUAAAAUCUUGGGUUACA
rnacentral:lncRNA from 12 species